GACGAACGCUGGCGGCGUGCUUAACACAUGCAAGUCGAACGGAAAGGCCCUGCUUUUGUGGGGUGCUCGAGGGGCGAACGGGUGAGUAACACGUGAGUAACCUGCCCUUGACUUUGGGAUACCUCCAGGAACCUGGUGCUAAUACCGGAUAGGAGCCCCUGCUGCGCGGUGGCGGUUGGAAAGUUCCGGUGGUUGGGGAUGGACCCGCGGCUUAUCAGCUUCUCGGUGGGGUAGUGACUUACCAAGGCUAUGUCGGGUAGCCGCCCUGAGAGGGUGCCCGCCCACAGAGGAACUGGGAUCCGGCCCGGCCUGCUCCGGGAGGCAGGAGUGGAGAAUAUUGCACAACGGGCGGAAGCCAGAUGCAGCCACGCCGCGUGCGGAAUGACGGCCUUCGGGUUGUAACCCGGUUUCGCCUGUGAUGAAGCGUGCGUGACGGUAAUGGGCAAAGAAGCACCGACUAACUACGU
rnacentral:rRNA from 1 species